UUACGGGAGGCAGCAGUAAGGAAUAUUGGUCAAUGGAGGCAACUCUGAACCAGCCAUGCCGCGUGCAGGAAGACGGCCCUAUGGGUUGUAAACUGCUUUUAUCUGGGAAUAAACCUUUUUACGUGUAAGAAGCUGAAUGUACCAGAAGAAUAAGGAUCGGCUAACUCCGUGCCAGCAGCCGCGGUAAUACGGAGGAUCCAAGCGUUAUCCGGAUUUAUUGGGUUUAAAGGGUGCGUAGGCGGCCUGUUAAGUCAGAGGUGAAAGACGGUAGCUCAACUAUCGCAGUGCCUUUGAUACUGACGGGCUUGAAUAAACUAGAGGUAGGCGGAAUGAGACAAGUAGCGGUGAAAUGCAUAGAUAUGUCUCAGAACACCGAUUGCGAAGGCAGCUUACUAUGGUUUUAUUGACGCUGAGGCACGAAAGCGUGGGGAUCAAACAGGCUUAGAUACCCUGGUAGA
rnacentral:rRNA from 1 species